rnacentral:rRNA from 1 species
UGAGCUGUGGAUAGCGGAGAAAUUCCAAUCGAACUCGGAGAUAGCUGGUUCUCCUCGAAAUAGCUUUAGGGCUAGCGUCGGGUAAUUGAGUAGUGGAGGUAGAGCACUGAAUGGGCUAGGGGCUGACAACAGUUACUGAACCCUAUCAAACUCCGAAUGCCAUAUACUUGUACCCCGGCAGUCAGACUACGAAUGAUAAGAUCCGUGGUCAAAAGGGAAACAGCCCAGACCAUCAGCUAAGGUCCCAAAGUGUAAGUUAAGUGGGAAAGGAUGUGGGAUUUCUAAGACAACUAGGAUGUUGGCUUAGAAGCAGCCACUCAUUUAAAGAGUGCGUAAUAGCUCACUAGUCGAGAGAUCCUGCGCCGAAGAUGUAACGGGGCUCAAACUUACCACCGAAGCUAUGGAUGUGUACUUUGUACACGUGGUAGAGGAGCUUUCUGUACAGGUUGAAGUCAUACCGUAAGGAGUGGUGGACAGUACAGAAGUGAGAAUGCUGGCAUAAGUAGCGAAAAACAAGUGAGAAUCUUGUUGACCGAAUAUCUAAGGUUUCCUGGGGAAGGCGCGGCCUCCCAGGGUUAGUCGGGACCUAAGCCGAGGCCGAAAGGCGUAGGUGAUGGACAACUGGUUGAUAUUCCAGUACCACCAUAAUGCG